rnacentral:rRNA from 1 species
ACUCAAAUGAAUUGACGGGGGCCCGCACAAGCGGUGGAGCAUGUGGUUUAAUUCGACGCAACGCGAAGAACCUUACCUGGGCUCGAAAUGCAGUGGAAGUCGGCUGAAAGGUCGGUGCCCGCAAGGGCCGCUGUAUAGGUGCUGCAUGGCUGUCGUCAGCUCGUGUCGUGAGAUGUUGGGUUAAGUCCCGCAACGAGCGCAACCCUUAUCUUUAGUUGCCAUGUCGCAAGACGGAACUCUAAAGAGACAGCCGGCCACAAGCCGGAGGAAGGUGGGGAUGACGUCAAGUCCUCAUGGCCUUUAUGUCCAGGGCUACACACGUGCUACAAUGGGCGGUACAAAGCGCAGCAAACCCGCGAGGGGGAGCCAAUCGCAAAAAACCGCUCUCAGUUCGGAUUGCAGUCUGCAACUCGGCUGCAUGAAGCUGGAAUCGCUAGUAAUCGCGGAUCAGCACGCCGCGGUGAAUACGUUCCCGGGCCUUGCACACACCGCCCGU